rnacentral:rRNA from 1 species
UACAUAGGUCCCAAGCGUUGUUCGGAUUCACUGGGCGUAAAGGGUGCGUAGGCGGUCGGGUAAGUCUGAUGUGAAAUCUCACAGCUUAACUGUGAAACUGCAUUGGAUACUAUUCGGCUUGAGAGUUGGAGGGGGGACUGGAAUUCUCGGUGUAGCAGUGAAAUGCGUAGAUAUCGGGAGGAACACCUGUGGCGAAGGCGGCGCACUGGACCAUAACUGACGCUGAGGCGCGAAAGCUAGGGGAGCAAACGGG